CGCGUAGGCGGGAUGGCAAGUCGGUCGUGAAAUCCUUCGGCUCAACCGAAGAACGUCGAUCGAUACUGCUGUUCUUGAGGGUUGCAGAGGAGACUGGAAUUCCCGGUGUAGCGGUGAAAUGUGUAGAGAUCGGGAGGAACACCGGUGGCGAAGGCGGGUCUCUGGGCAAUUCCUGACGCUGAGGCGCGAAAGCGUGGGGAGCAAACGGGAUUAGAUACCCCGGUAGUCCACGCUGUAAACGAUGACGACUAGGUGUGGGGGGGGUUCAGUCCCCUCCGUGCCGCAGCUAACGCAUUAAGUCGUCCGCCUGGGGAGUACGGCCGCAAGGUUGAA
rnacentral:rRNA from 1 species